rnacentral:rRNA from 1 species
UGGAGGACCGAACCGACUAAUGUUGAAAAAUUAGCGGAUGACUUGUGGCUAGGGGUGAAAGGCCAAUCAAACCUGGAGAUAGCUGGUUCUCCCCGAAAGCUAUUUAGGUAGCGCCUCGGACGAAUACUACUGGGGGUAGAGCACUGUUAAGGCUAGGGGGUCAUCCCGACUUACCAACCCUUUGCAAACUCCGAAUACCAGUAAGUACUAUCCGGGAGACACACGGCGGGUGCUAACGUCCGUCGUGGAGAGGGAAACAACCCAGACCGCCAGCUAAGGUCCCAAAUUACUACUAAGUGGGAAACGAUGUGGGAAGGCUCAGACAGCAGGAUGUUGGCUUAGAAGCAGCCAUCAUUUAAAGAAAGCGUAAUAGCUCACUGGUCGAGUCGGCCUGCGCGGAAGAUGUAACGGGGCUAAGUAGUAAACCGAAGCUGCGGCAAUGCACUUUAGUGCAUUGGGUAGGGGAGCGUUCUGUAAGCGGUUGAAGGUGUGUGGUAACGCAUGCUGGACGUAUCAGAAGUGCGAAUGCUGACAUGAGUAACGAUAAAGGGGGUGAAAAACCUCCUCGCCGGAAGACCAAGGGUUCCUGUCCAACGUUAAUCGGGGCAGGGUAAGUCGACCCCUAAGGCGAGGCCGAAAGGCGUAGUCGAUGGGAAACGGGUUAAUAUUCCCGUACUUCUUACAAUUGCGAUGGGGGGACGGAGAAGGCUAGGUGGGCCUGGCGACGGUUGUCCAGGUUCAAGUGCGUAGGCUGAAGAGUUAGGUAAAUCCGGCUCUUUCUAAGGCUGAGACACGACGUCGAGCUACUACGGUAGUGAAGUCAUUGAUGCCAUGCUUCCAGGAAAAGCCUCUAAGCUUCAGAUUGUAAGGAAUCGUACCCCAAACCGACACAGGUGGUCGGGUAGAGAAUACCAAGGCGCUUGAGAGAACUCGGGUGAAGGAACUAGGCAAAAUGGUACCGUAACUUCGGGAGAAGGUACGCUCUCGACGGUGAAGUCCCUCGCGGAUGGAGCUAUUGAGAGUCGCAGAUACCAGGUGGCUGCAACUGUUUAUUAAAAACACAGCACUGUGCAAAAUCGCAAGAUGACGUAUACGGUGUGACGCCUGCCCGGUGCCGGAAGGUUAAUUGAUGGGGUUAGACUUCGGUCGAAGCUCUUGAUCGAAGCCCCGGUAAACGGCGGCCGUAACUAUAACGGUCCUAAGGUAGCGAAAUUCCUUGUCGGGUAAGUUCCGACCUGCACGAAUGGCGUAAUGAUGGCCACGCUGUCUCCACCCGAGACUCAGUGAAAUUGAAAUCGCUGUGAAGAUGCAGUGUACCCGCGGCUAGACGGAAAGACCCCGUGAACCUUUACUACAGCUUGGCACUGAACAUUGACCCUACAUGUGUAGGAUAGGUGGGAGGCUUUGAAGCGCAGUCGCUAGAUUGCGUGGAGCCGUCCUUGAAAUACCACCCUUGUAGUGUUGAUGUUCUAACGUCGACCCUAAUCGGGGUUGCGGACAGUGCCUGGUGGGUAGUUUGACUGGGGCGGUCUCCUCCCAAAGCGUAACGGAGGAGCACGAAGGUGGGCUAAUCACGGUUGGACAUCGUGAGGUUAGUGCAAUGGCAUAAGCCGCUUGACUGCGAGAAUGACAAUUCGAGCAGGUGCGAAAGCAGGUCAUAGUGAUCCGGUGGUUCUGAAUGGAAGGGCCAUCGCUCAACGGAUAAAAGGUACUCCGGGGAUAACAGGCUGAUACCGCCCAAGAGUUCAUAUCGACGGCGGUGUUUGGCACCUCGAUGUCGGCUCAUCACAUCCUGGGGCUGAAGUCGGUCCCAAGGGUAUGGCUGUUCGCCAUUUAAAGUGGUACGCGAGCUGGGUUUAGAACGUCGUGAGACAGUUCGGUCCCUAUCUGCCGUGGGCGUUGGAGAAUUGAAAGGGGCUGCUCCUAGUACGAGAGGACCGGAGUGGACGAACCUCUGGUGUUCGGGUUGUGUCGCCAGACGCAUUGCCCGGUAGCUAAGUUCGGGAUCGAUAACCGCUGAAAGCAUCUAAGCGGGAAGCGAGCCUUGAGAUGAGUUCUCCCUGAUACUUUAAGUAUCCUAAAGGGUUGUCGUAGACUACGACGUUGAUA